GGUCCAAAGACACCUAAAACCUACCGUGCUCCCAUCGUGGAAACCAAAAAAACAGGAAGCCCUCGCUGGCACAAGUCAUCUGAGAACAGAAAUGCGCCCCGGCGCACUAAAAUGAAAAUUACAACCCAUAACAAUGGAUCUCUUGGCUCUGGCAUCGAUGAAGAACGCAGCGAAAUGCGAUAAUUAAUAUGAAUUGCAGAAUUCAGUGAAUCAUCGAGUCUUUGAACGCACAUUGCGCCCUCUGGUAAUCCGGAGGGCAUGUCCGACCGAGCGUCACUAUCACCGCCCGAGCCCCCGGCUCGGUGUUGGGGACCGCGGGUUAGCUUGAUUGCAACCCCCGCGGCCCCGAAAAGCAGCGGCGGCCCCACCGUGGCAAGCCCCCCAGCGGAGUAGAACAUACCUCGCCCGGGAGCGCCGCGCAUUAGGCGGGCCCGGCCACUAGGCGGACCACCCCCCGGCAACGGGCGGGCGGACCCCCGAACCCCCUUUACAUACCCGGUUGGCCUCGGGUCGGACAAGAUUACCCGCUGAACUUAAGC
rnacentral:rRNA from 1 species